rnacentral:rRNA from 1 species
GACGAACGCUGGCGGCGUGCUUAACACAUGCAAGUCGAACUCUGAAGCACCAGCUUGCUGGUGUGGAUGAAUGGCGAACGGGUGAGUAAUACGUGAGAAACCUGCCCUUUACUCUGGGAUAAGCCCGGGAAACUGGGUCUAAUACUGGAUGCUACAUGUCACCGCAUGGUGGUGUGUGGAAAGGGUUUACUGGUCUUGGAUGGGCUCACGGCCUAUCAGCUUGUUGGUGAGGUAAUGGCUCACCAAGGCGACGACGGGUAGCCGGCCUGAGAGGGUGACCGGCCACACUGGGACUGAGACACGGCCCAGACUCCUACGGGAGGCAGCAGUGGGGAAUAUUGCACAAUGGGCGAAAGCCUGAUGCAGCGACGCCGCGUGAGGGAUGACGGCCUUCGGGUUGUAAACCUCUUUCAGCAGGGAAGAAGCCACAAGUGACGGUACCUGCAGAAGAAGCGCCGGCUAACUACGUGCCAGCAGCCGCGGUAACAC